UUCGAUGAUCUUGGACAUUUUGGAAAGCUUAUUCAGAGUGCUAUCCAAUCCAUAUGAAUACUCAAUCCAAAUCAAAAUGUAUCAAAGCAGUAUUUCAAUAUAAAAGCCAUCCUAAUGUCCGGAGAACACCGAAAGACUUCUCUCUCUUUACCAAGUUGAUCAAAAUCAACUCCAACACCUUCUCCUUUGCAAAUAUGCCAACACCACCAAGUGUACACCACCAUGUGCAUGUGUGUUAGCAUUUCACAAACAUUUUCCCAAAAGAGUU
rnacentral:lncRNA from 1 species